GCAGCCCCCAUAGUGUUGCCAGAAAAAUCGUGGAUAAGAACGUGUAAAUACAGGUGAAGUACAGUUUAAAGGCUGCAGUGGAGAACGAUUCUUAAGCUCAAACACAAAAUGCUUGAUAUAAACAGCCGAGUUUUGAACGUGAGCUCUGUUUUAGUGCACUUUGAGAACCUAGAAAUGGUAACGUCUUCACAACACGGAACAAGAAGUCGGUUUGAGAAGCGGUGUGUUUAAAUGAGCUCGAGCUCUCUGUGCUGUUUAUAAUUAGCAUUAGCGCGUUAUUCAUAUUUGAGCUGAUUCGAAUAAAAGAGUGAUUUAUUAUGGCUAUGAAGAGAAAGCUGCCCUCCUGGAUGAUCUCACCUGAUCAACAAAGUAGCAAAGAGCGACCGAGUAAGUCUGUAAAGAACAUACAUAAAGAAAACCCGAAACAUGGAGCAGGAAAAACUCGCAUUAAAAGUAUUAGGUACUGGAUGAAUGAACAGGAGCUGAUGGAAACAGCACUCGGUGUUUUAAGGAAGGUUAACACAAAGUCUGAUGCAGCAGAUGGAUGUCCGGCAACGACUACAGAAAAAACAGUGAUUUCAGAGACUGAUGAGGACCAGAGUACAGACUCAGACGUUUCUGAUGUUGGUGUGGAUGUUGCUGAACAAGCGACUGUACCGUAUGCUGAACAUGCUGAAUGCUUAGAGACAAAACAUUCCAGCAGAGGAUCAACAAGGUCUGAUGAACAUUCACCUGCUCCACCACAGGCUUUAGAAAAUGAAGUUGAGUCUAGAGGGGACAAAACUCAGAAUGACUCUGAUGAUGAAGCUCUGCGAGUAAUUAGAGAUAUUUUCUUUAGCUGACCCUGAAACUCAGGUCCUGUUCCUGUCCUGAUUUAUCUGGUGGUUACUGGAUAAACAAUAAUGCUGGCUGGCCGAGGAGGACAAAAGGCUAACACACACCCCCUCUGUCACUUAUGAAGUCACCAGCUGAGUCUGUACACCAGCCAGCAGCAGAUUUACACAGAAAGCCUCAACACACAUCUGAAUGUCUCUGCCCCUCAUACUGGAAGCUCACCCAGAUGGAGGGAUUUGUUGUUGCAGCAGCAACAAGAUGAUUCCUUAUCUGGCUUUUCCUUUCUCAGACACAGUCAACUGUGUCUGCACCCGACCAAGCUUUUGGCACCAUCAGGACUCCUUUGUGAGUUAGAGUAUCAGACUGCUGUGCCAAUCCAGCACUAAUCCUGGAGUUUUAUCGAUUUUUGCAACUAUUGUUUUUAUUGGACUAAAUUAUUAAAGCCAAUUUUAGACCCAGUUUGUCCAAAAACACACAAUACUGCUUCUUUAUACGUUCUUGAGAAAUAAGACAUACUUUGCUUUGUCAAAAAAUGUACAUAAAACACAUAAUAUUGGGGCACUUGGGGUCUAUUACGCUAGUCCAUCACUGCUGAGAUCUGGGAUCAAAUGUUACAGAAGCUGUGAUGGAUUUGCACCCUGGGAAACCAGACCACACGUGACCCUGACCAGGAUAAAGUGGUUUAUUAAAAUGAAAAGUUAAAACAUACUAUUUGGUUAGUUCUUCUUAUCUCACCGAGAUGCUUUUGUGCCAUCAUCAACCUUCUGGCACAGCUCAACAAAAUAUCCAGUGAGUGUAUGCAUUGUGCUUGAUAUAUUCUAGGUCCUAGAUAUGAAUGUGUGUUGGAAAGGAUUGGCUUUCUAUUAUCCUGCAUUGCACCUAGUGUUUCUGGGUGGAGCAGGACCCAUUGCAGCCCUGUAACACUGACCAAAGUAAAGCAAUUAUUAAUUAA